GUGAGGAAUUUUCCGCAAUGGGCGAAAGCCUGACGGAGCAAUGCCGCGUGAAGGAUGAAGGCCUAUGGGUUGUAAACUUCUUUUCUCAGAAAAGAAUUAUGACGGUAUCUGAGGAAUAAGCAUCGGCUAACUCUGUGCCAGCAGCCGCGGUAAGACAGAGGAUGCAAGCGUUAUCCGGAAUGAUUGGGCGUAAAGCGUCUGUAGGUUGUUUAAAAAGUAUUCUGUCAAAGAUUAGGGCUUAACCCUAGAUAGGCAGAAUAAACUUUUAAGCUAGAGUUUGGUAGAGGCAGAGGGAAUUCCCGGUGGAGCGGUGAAAUGCGUAGAUAUCGGAGGAACACCAAAGGCGAAGGCACUCUGCUGGGCCAAUACUAACACUGAGAGACGAAAGCGAGGGGAGCAAAUGGGAUUAGAAACCCUAGUAGUCC
rnacentral:rRNA from 1 species